CUGGGUGUAGCUCAGUCGCGUAGAGUGCCGCCCUUGGAAGGCGGAGGCCGCCCGUUCGAGUCGGGCCAUCCAGACCA
rnacentral:tRNA from 1 species